UUUGACUGGAUUCUAGCACAUAGUAAGAGCUCAACGAAUGUUCCAGUGAAUGAAGUAAUCUCCUGGCUUAUAUUCAAGUUGGGGACAAGGAUCUUUCAAAGAGGUGGGUAUUGGAACAUGGAACACUGAUUUUUCUACUCAUAGAUGGAAAGCUCCUAGAGAAUGUCUGAAUAGUUUUUGACUUGGUCUCCCUUUGUGUCAUCAAAUCUCUGUCACCAACUAGAGCGCAACUCACAAUUGCAAAGAUAUGGAACCAACCAAAGUACCCAUCAAUGGACGAGCAAAUGAAGAAAAUGUGGUAUAUAUACACCAAGGAAUACUACUCAGCCAUAAAAAAGAAUGAACUGACGUCUUUUGCAGCAACUUGGAUGGAGCUGGAGGCCAUUUUUCUCAGCAAGUAAGUCAGGAAUGGAAAACAAAAUACUGUAUAUUCUCACUUAUUAAUAGGAGCUAAGCUAUCGGUACACAAAGGCAUGCAGAAUGGUAUAAUGGACAUUGGAGACUCAGAAGGCAGGGGUGGGUGGGGGUGAGUGACAAAAAUCUACAUACUGGUUAUAAUGUAUACUACUUGGGUGACGUGUUCACUAAAAUCUCAGACUUCACCAAUAUACAAUUGAUUCAUGUAACAGAAAACCACUUGUACCACAAAAGCUAUUGAAAUAAAUUUUAGUUUUUAAAGAAAGUCUGAGUACUAACACCUCCUCUUUUUUUCAAUCCUUCCCGAGACUACCUUCCUCCCUUAUCUCUCCCAUGUGUUCCCAGAGAGAUAUAUUUGAAAUGAGGUAUUUGGGCUGGAU